GAAGUGCGAUAAGCAAUGCGAAUUGCAGAACCGUGAGUCAUCAGAUUUUUGAACGCAACUGGCGCUGGCUGGGUCUCCAGCCAGCAUGCUUGUUUCAGUGUCUUGUUUUCUCCUCACCCAAACCUUAAUGCGAGAGAUACCCUUCUCUUGUCAAGCACUGACAGCGUGAGCUGACAGCCUCUGCUCUCAAUGAGUUCACAUUAAAAGAAAUGUGACGGCUGCAUUGAGUGCGACUCCCGAACUAGUCAAGAAG
rnacentral:misc_RNA from 1 species